NUCGACCUCAGAUCGGACGAGACCACCCGCUGAAUUUAAGCAUAUCACUAAGCGGAGGAAAAGAAACUAACCAGGAUUCCCCUAGUAGCGGCGAGUGAAGCGGGAUNAGCCCAUCGCCGAANNNNNNGACCGACCGGGCUCGGGGACCUGUGGCGUGAGGCGGCUUCGGGCAUGCGAGGUUACGGCGCCGAGGUCCUCCUGAUCGGGGCACCUUACCCAGAGCGGGUGUCAGGCCCGUUCAGGCCCCGGACCUCGCAGGCCUGGAGCCACCAAGAGUCAGGUAGUUUUGGAAUGCUGCCUAAAGAGGGGUGGUGAACUCCAUCCAAGGCUAAAUACUGGCACGAGACCGAUAGCAGACAAGUACCGUGAGGGAAA
rnacentral:rRNA from 1 species